UUAUUAUAUAUAUUAAUCAAAGAUUAUAAAAUUAAUCUAUUUUUUAAUCUGAAUGUUUGACUUUCUAUCUCUAAUUUAAAUGUUUUUCAUAUCAAAAUGAAAACCAAUAUAGAAUUACUAUUUACCAGAUCAAUAGCUAUCAAAAACGAUAUAUAAUAUAAGUUAAAAAUCAAUUCACGUUCCCAUGAAAGUGUUUAACGAUGCCCAAAGAAAGAUAAAGCGAAUGUAACUUCGAGUCGAUCGGUAAAACACGAAAAUUCUAAUAGAACGAACAAUAGUAACGGUAUAUUUGUAGCGCGAACAACAGUGCUGCCGAUAUGUGAGAAAAAAUCGGAAAAAACGAUUCGACACGAUCCGCGAGUCGACGUUCGUGCACGGAACUUGCGACGAAGCCGCUCGCAGCGUGUUUCAAGGCUGAACCGCCUCUUCUCUACACUCUUUUCGACCCCUCCAAAGACGAAUCAUCUCCUUUCCCCUAACUUCACGUUCGAUUAUCGUUCUCUUUCUCUUUCUUUCAAUCUAUCGGUAGGUUGCGUAUCGUUUGUCUCACUUCGUUCGUUUCUUCCGUUCGUUCUUUCUCGUUCAUAUUCGUCUGUAUUCGUUGGUCGCGCCACGGCAGUGCUAUCCUAUCGCAUGACUCUGCAGCGUUACGCAACUAACAGAAGGCUAGGUCAGCAGAUUCGCGACGAUUAAACUUAUGCAGUGUGACGACCGAGCCGUUCGACCUACUUCGUAAAA